GACGAAAGCGGGCGGCGUGCUUAACACAUGCCAGUCGAACGGAAAGGCCCUACUUUUGUGGGGUGCUCGAGUGGCGAACGGGUGAGUAACACGUGAGUAAUCUGCCCUUCACUUUGGGAUAACUUCAGGAAACUGGGUCUAAUACUGGAUAUGAGCUCUUUCUGCAUGGUGUGGGUUGGAAAGUUUCUGCGUUUGGGGAUGGACUGGCGGCUUAUCAGCUUGUUGGUGGGGUAGUGGCUUACCAAGGCUUUGACGGGUAGCCGGCCUGAGAGGGUGACCGGCCACAUUGGGACUGAGAUACGGCCCAGACUCCUACGGGAGGCAGCAGUGGGGAAUAUUGCACAAUGGGCGGAAGCCUGAUGCAGCAACGCCGCGUGCGGGAUGACGGCCUUCGGGUUGUAAACCGCUUUCGGCUGGGACGAAGCGUGAGUGACGGUAAUGGGUAAAGAAGCACCGGCUAACUACGUG
rnacentral:rRNA from 1 species